CUGAAGAGACCAUUUGUGUGGAUUUGAAAUCUGUUUCCAUGGCAGCAAGCCCCUGGCUGGGCUCCUGUCACAAACUGUCUCUCCAUCUUUGCAAACCAAGUUCAGUUUAUUCUGUUUUCACAUAUACAAAUGUGUGCCACUGGUCAGAGGCCUCCCAGGGAUUUCAGAGACUGGGUUUGGGUGUGCUAUUGACAGUAACUUUCUCCUUCAUUGAUUAAGAACAUCCACGUUAGUAUGGCAUGCAUCUACUUCUUUACCAGUAUUUACUUAAAUGUUAAUUCUAACACACUACUUGCAGAAAACAAAAAGGUGCUGCAAAGGAGCUAAUUGGAAAUGAUGGCUUGAGACCCCAGUUCUCUCACAUCUUACUUGUCAACUAAGAACGGCGGCAGUGCAGCUGAUGGAAAUACACCAUAGGAGUCAGACCAAAGGGUUAAACUCUUGGUUCUGCCACGUGGAGGCAGUGUGGCUUUGCACCAAUCACAACUGGGAAUAAGUUUCCACUCCAUUCCCAGACCGAGGAUCAUGUAUAAAUCUGACCGUCUGUGGCAUUUCAGCCCAGGUCAGAACCCACCAGAGAGUUCCAGGUGCUUCAGCUAGGGAGCUGUAGCCCUCCUGAGGGCACCAUGCUGCAGCACUGGUCUGUUGGGGAAGGGAACCAUCCAGGGAGUGACCAGCAAGCAGUCAACAGGGGGACGUUCUGCAGCUCACCUGUCCUGUAGCAACUGCAGAGACACCGGUGCGGGGGGAUGGUGAGGAACUGCAGUGAACACAGAGCCAAGAAGGCUGAGAGCUCUUUGCAAACAUGAAUAUGUGACAAGACAUCAGUGCACGGUUGUAAGUAAAUCAGCAGGAACUUUCUCAGCUGGAUUCUUCCUUGUUUUCUCCCUCUGCCCAUCGAGAACGGGGGGGAAGGGACUGGACUCCCCUUUCUUUCAAGCAUUACCUUACCACCUGACUGCCACCCCUGGCACUUACAGUGGAAACUUGCCUCUUCCAUUCCUCACUAGAUAAAUAAUCUACUUUCAUUUUGGCGACUCGUCCAGUAUUUUUUUUCCAUGAGGCGGGGUGAUGAGCCUUGCCCUGGUUUCGGAGGUCUCGUGUUCACCAGCAGCAAGCCAGGCCUCCUGUUUGCCCCUGUUGUUUUGCCAAGGAGAGGAAACCAAGGCAACGAGUUAGCUAAGGUGGCCAAAAUGCUGAAGUUGUUGCUCCCAAAGUGUCAUCUAUGAGCCACCCAGCAUCAGCAACGUCUUGAAGUAUGUGUUCAGAAUAACUCCAUCCUCAACUCCUGACCAGUCUCCCCACCGAACCUCCCCACCCAAUCGGUGUCUUUGGCAGAAGAGCCCAAGAAGCUGCAUUUUUACCAGGUUCCCAGAGGACAGUUGUACAUUCUAACCUGAAAACCACUGGCCCAGACUGUCCGUAGCAAUCAGGCCACCAACAGGACUUGAAGUCACAGACCUCCAUCCCUACCCCUCGUGGUGAUACAUGGUAUUCCAAUGUGUGACUGUUGCCACAACUGAUGUAGCCAUCUAUCCACUACUUGCUGACGCUUCUCCAAUUUCCAUUUCCACAAUUGAGAUGAUAGCAGAUUGCUUCCCCACGUCGUGGCGCCACCUACAGGCCCACCAGUGCUCACAGAGGCUUCUCAUCCCCAUUAGGGUGAAGGAAGGAAAGAACAACAGACAAGCUCAGAGGACUGAGUCUGGAACCCCAUCCACAUCAAGAUGCUUAAUUUGAACGCCCACUCCCAAGGAAGUGACUCAUAGCUGCUGUCUGAUGAUAAGGAAACUGAGGCACAUAGAGUGAGAUCAUUUUACUAAAGGUGGAAGAGGCAGAAUCCAGAUUCAAACUCAUCAUGCUCCAGAGGCCACACUCGUAACAAUACGCUAUGCGUAUGAACCCUAUAAAGUCUAGAACAACUCUGAUGAUAUUCGAGGUCAUCUCUCUCCUGCCACAUCUUCCCACAGUUUCCGAGAUAAGAACAAGAAGAACUGGAACAUCUGAGCACUGUUCUGGAAAGAGCUCUGACUGAGAGUGAGGAGACCCAGGCGCUAGCCCGAUGCCUGACCUGUGACUCUGAGACUGGGCUUCCUUGUUUAUAAAAUAAAGGACUUGGACCAGCUGCCCUCUAGGUCCCUUAUCGUCUGUACACUGUGGGAAGCUCUGCCAGCUCCUUUUGCCUCUCUGUCUACCAAGUCUUGAUAGCCCGGCUUAUCACUCAGUCCAUGCUUGUUUCUCUGCCUUGAGUUCAUUCACAAUCCCUUUGGGGCAGUUUGCAUGGCCCUUUGGGAGCGGCAAAUCCCUCUGAGAAUCCAAGGAGAGCAAAGGCUCAUCCUUUCAGGAAAAAAAAAAAAUGUACAUUUUUAUAACCACACACCUCACACAUGACUUCAGGACGUUACAGACCCUGAAGCUGUCCAUCCUUUAGGCCCCAGGAUAAAAUCUCCUGCACCAGACAACGAGCAGGAAGUAGCCCAAGUUGAAAACAGCACUGACAGAGGAUGUGAUCAGGGGGA